AGUUAGGGGAGCUUUAACUCCAUCCCAAAGGGAGGCAGACGGCUCCGAGUGUUUGCUUGUGGCAGGGGUGUCGGGGGGGAGAUCCCGGGGGGCCUGACCUAGCAGUGGGGUCACGACAAGUUUCCUCCAGGAAGCCAUGUUUGGCCUGAGCGCUGAAGGAGGCAUAGGAAUUGUCUAGAUAGCAGCGGGGGCUGGAAAGAUACCAGGUACAGGGAACAGCACGUGUGAAUGCCUGAGGCAGGGGCCAGAAGGGGAGCCCAUGUGGUUGGACCGAAACCGUGGGAAAAGGCGCACACUGAGGACACAAGGCCUGGAUUUUACUUCCCCUCAACACGACGCAAACAUGUAUCUUGGCACCAACCUCAACGUGACUGGGGGCCACGGAGCCUUUCUGUUGUCUUUGCCCUGACAGGACUGAGAGGACACCUGGGAUGUUGCUCACGGAGGUUGCCAUGAGAAGGACGAGGGGUGCCUGGGGUUUGGGGAGUCGUAGAGACAAAUCAGCUAAGUCUUCGUCCUCCAAAGGCUCCUGGUUAAGUUCCAGUAUGUUGGCGGAGAGUAUGACCCAGUCAUCCAUUAGCACUUCAAAAUGGGCUAAUUGAUCAUAGUUCCAGCAAUAAAACAGAAUGGAAAAGGAUCAGAGAGCAAAUCUGGGCACGCGACGUCCACGACUGUGUGUGGAAGAUAGAAUUAGAAAAGAAACGGAGUGCAGCCCCCCACUCUGCCACGCACCAGCUCCAUAACAUAAGUCCGGCCCUCCCUGCCCCGGGUGUCCGCCCCCACAAAGAGGCUGCGAUGUUGCAAUGAGGCGGCAUAUACGGCCAAGGAUUGGUACGUGAACGUGACAGUGGACUCUGUGCCCGAAGUUCUAGAUACCAGUGUUUCUCCGCUUCUGCCCUCCUCCAUCGGCGCUUCUUCUCCUCUGGAUUUGAGGAUGUUAACUCGCUAGCACCUUUCAUCGUAACCUGUCCUCUAGAGGCGGGUGCUGCACGGCUCCCGACUUGGUAUCUGAACACUGGGUUUCCGAGGCGGGCUCCGGCGCCCCCUUUCUCUGCUAUCCCCCGAGUUGGUGAUGACCAUCUCCUUGCUUACUUUUGCUAAAUGGAUGUAAAGGCCCAUUUAGUUUGGCUUUCUCUCUACUUUCCCAGCUUAGGGGAGCUGCUUACCUCUAACUGGGCGCCCGCUUUGAACCAUUCGGAGAGGCCUUCAGUGAAAGUGGGACCCCCACAGCCCGUCCCCGAGACAACCACUGUUAGUCAUUUCUUGUAUAGACUAUGACCGCAGACACAUGUAUGUGUAUAUAUAACCACCGGGGCCAUAAUACCUACUCUUCUGAACCUUGC